AUUGAACGCUGGCGGCAUGCUUUACACAUGCAAGUCGAACGGUAACAGGGAGCUUGCUCCGCUGACGAGUGGCGAACGGGUGAGUAAUGCAUCGGAACAUGCCCAGUCAUGGGGGAUAACUACGCGAAAGCGUAGCUAAUACCGCAUACGCCCUGAGGGGGAAAGUGGGGGGUCUUAGGACCUCACGUGAUUGGAGUGGCCGAUGUCAGAUUAGCUAGUUGGUGAGGUAAAGGCUCACCAAGGCGACGAUCUGUAGCGGGUCUGAGAGGAUGAUCCGCCACACUGGGACUGAGACACGGCCCAGACUCCUACGGGAGGCAGCAGUGGGGAAUUUUGGACAAUGGGCGCAAGCCUGAUCCAGCCAUGCCGCGUGAGUGAAGAAGGCC
rnacentral:rRNA from 1 species